AGCAGACACAUAUUAUUCAUAGUUUGCCAAAUGAACCAAAUUCAUGACGUCCAAAUUAUAAUCAAGCACGAUGCAAACGUUUAUAUUACAAAUUAUCUAUUCAUCUCUAUUCAUCAACCGAUACGUCGUGGAGCAUCAUUUGAAUAUAAAUGGAAACGCCAACAAACAUGAUUAUAAUCAGAUUGAAUAACAAACCGCAAAAAUGAGUAUAAUGUUGGACAAGGUGUUUAACCCAUUGCGGAGAACCUAUUUACCACAGGUUUUUAGGAAUAAAUAAUAGGAAUAAAUAAUUAAUAAAUCAGUCAGAAAACAUGUUUUUACCAUAAUCAAUUCUUUUGCUGUUCUAUUUCCCCUUCUAAACAUAUUUUAGCCCCGAGAUCAUCAGUUAAUCAUUUAAUUUCUACACCCAACAGCACCGAAUAACUUUAUUCCAGUAUGACGCAUCUUUGAAAAGAAUUCAAAUUUUUAGAGCAAAAAAAACAAGUAUUUCAUAAUCUUAAUUUAAAUACUCGAUAUUCUAAAUAAAUGGGGCGGAUGAUCUUCAUUGUCGCAUUGUUCUCCGCCGUGGCGAUGCCAAACAACGACACGUGGUCAUGCGAGGGUGGAGGUUUGUUCUGCAACACGGGGGCGGCAGCUGCCCAAAAUGAAAGCGUCAUACAACUAAUACCGCGGCCUCAACGAGUACAUUGGCGACCACCUUUUCGGCCACCUCCGCGACCAGCAGUGCGACCACCGCACAGACCACCACCACCGCGACAACCCUACCAACAACCAUGGCAGACACUACCGUCCUUCCCCCCGCCCUGGUAUAUCCAGAACGAUCAAUAUGGCUGGAGCUGACCAAUGGAAAUGAUGUGUGUUACGGGAAAAAUCCGUAAUAAACUUUUUCCAAACCUGAGAUGACAAGGGAGCCACAAGUUGUGGCCCACAACUACUGUCCCAUCCUUCCGAGUUGCUUUUCAUAAAAUAAGAAUAAAUAUUCAUUUUAUAUUAGUUAAACUUAUAAAUUGUUGAAUUUAAAGAGACGACAGCUAUUUGCUAUGUAUGCAAUAAAAAUAUAUACAAGUGUUUAUAAAUCGGGGAAUAUAUCUAUAAUUUAUAUUAGAACCAAAGUAGAAUUUAAAUAAAAAGUUUAGAAUGUUUUCUUUUAAAAAAUA